GAAUUGUUCGCAAUGGACGAAAGUCUGACGACGCAACGCCGCGUGAAGGAUGAAGGUCUUCGGAUUGUAAACUUCUGUUGGGUGGGAAGAACUGUUUCCGGAUCAAUACCCCGGGACUCUGACCGUACCACCUGAGGAAGCCCCGGCGAACUCUGUGCCAGCAGCCGCGGUAAUACAGAGGGGGCAAGCGUUGUUCGGAAUUACUGGGCGUAAAGGGCGCGUAGGCGGCCUAUUAAGUCAGACGUGAAAUCCCUCGGCUCAACCGGGGAACUGCGUCUGAUACUGGUGGGCUUGAGUUCGGGAGAGGAAUGUGGAAUUCCAGGUGUAGCGGUGAAAUGCGUAGAUAUCUGGAGGAACACCGGUGGCGAAGGCGGCAUUCUGGACCGACACUGACGCUGAGGCGCGAAAGCCAGGGGAGCAAACGGG
rnacentral:rRNA from 1 species